rnacentral:misc_RNA from 1 species
GAUGAAGAACGUAGCGAAACGCGAUAGUUAAUGUGAAUUGCAGAAUUCAGUGAAUCAUCGAAUCUUUGAACGCACCUUGCGCCCUUUGGCCAUUCCGAAGGGCAUGCCUGUUUGAGUAUCAUGAACACCUCAACUCUUUAUGGUUUUCCAUGAUGAGCUUGGACUCUGGGGGUUUUGCUGGCUCACAGUCGGCUCCUCUAAAAUGAAUCAGCUUACCAGUGUUUGGUGGGUAUCAUGGGUGUGAUAACUAUCUACGCUUGUGGUUUUUCCACCAGGUAACCUUCAGCAGUGGAGGUUCGCUGGAGCUCAUAGAUGUCUCUCCUCAGUGAGGACAGCCCUUUGAAUGUUUGAUCUCAAAUCAGGUAGGACUACCCGCUGAACUUAAGCAUAUCAAUAAGCGGAGGA